GAGGGAAGUGGAAUCCCAGCAUCACUGCUUCACUGGUGCAGAGACUGAACGUGCAGUGAGUCAACAACUGCACCUGGGUCCCAAACCCUCCAGUUUUGGGAACGAACCAGGGUUCAAAGGUGGCCAGAAACUGUCUAGCACCAGCUACAGCAAGGCCAUCAGGUUUACACUGAGCCCACGUGCCUGGCUGUAUGACCUUGGCUGCUGCUCAAGUCCUCCUUUCAGGAGCAAGUCAAGACAUGACUGAAAUACAGUUGUGCCUGCUGCUGCAAAGCCCCAACCUCUGCCUCAGGUGCCUUUGUACAUCUUGCUAGCAGUAAUGGGAGUUACUUCUGCCGUGGGGAGAUAGACAAAUUAUGGCCUUGUCCUUCAGAAACUUCCAUCUGCCACUGAGGAAAAAAGAAGUGUGUUUUGCAGAGUGGAAGAACCCAAAGAGAACGGGAUGGCAUCUCGGUGUGACUCCAAACUUUGUCCAAGCCACACGGAGGGAAGACAAACCCCAAGGAGUACAUGUAGCGACGUGCCAAGCGUUACAGGCUUCACAAGAAACUGUUCCUUGUGACCGUUCUGCCCUGAGCUCCAGAGGGGAGAGAAGACGUCGUUUGAAUUUGGUCAUUGUCCCUUAUCAAUUCUCACUUAAAUUUUUAAUUCUCAUCUGCAAGGUAUUAGCACAUGGGCAGAGUGGCCGUGGUACCUCCUCCCUUCUCGCUGGAGGUGCCAGCAGCUCGUGCCUCUGCAGUCAUUGCUCCUGCUGGAGGCUGGCUCACUGGGAAGCCCUAGGUUCCUGUUCUGCAGGGUUGGGGCAGAGGGGCUUGCAUCAGGGAAGAUGAACUUUUAAAUCCUAAAUCAAUUACAUGCUUUCAAGGCUGUCCAAAAAUAAAACCUGGGAAAAAUUAAAAAAAAAUAAUAAA
rnacentral:lncRNA from 1 species